CAUAUGGCCAAACAAACACCUUGUGCUUUUUUGCUCAAAUUUACGCACGCAUGAUUUUGAGCAAAAAAGCACAAGGUGUUUGUUUGGCCAUAU